GGUCUUCGGACGCUGACGAGUGGCGAACGGGUGAGUAAUACAUCGGAACGUGCCCAGUCGUGGGGGAUAACUACUCGAAAGAGUAGCUAAUACCGCAUACGAUCUGAGGAUGAAAGCGGGGGACCUUCGGGCCUCGCGCGAUUGGAGCGGCCGAUGGCAGAUUAGGUAGUUGGUGGGAUAAAAGCUUACCAAGCCGACGAUCUGUAGCUGGUCUGAGAGGACGACCAGCCACACUGGGACUGAGACACGGCCCAGACUCCUACGGGAGGCAGCAGUGGGGAAUUUUGGACAAUGGGCGAAAGCCUGAUCCAGCAAUGCCGCGUGCAGGAUGAAGGCCUUCGGGUUGUAAACUGCUUUUGUACGGAACGAAAAAGCUCCUUCUAAUACAGGGGGCCCAUGACGGUACCGUAAGAAUAAGCACCGGCUAACUACGUGCCAGCAGCCGCGGUAA
rnacentral:rRNA from 1 species